GUCGAGCGAGCUUGCCUAGAUGAUUUUAGUGCUUGCACUAAAUGAAACUAGAUACAAGCGAGCGGCGGACGGGUGAGUAACACGUGGGUAACCUGCCCAAGAGACUGGGAUAACACCUGGAAACAGAUGCUAAUACCGGAUAACAACACUAGACGCAUGUCUAGAGUUUGAAAGAUGGUUCUGCUAUCACUCUUGGAUGGACCUGCGGUGCAUUAGCUAGUUGGUAAGGUAACGGCUUACCAAGGCAAUGAUGCAUAGCCGAGUUGAGAGACUGAUCGGCCACAUUGGGACUGAGACACGGCCCAAACUCCUACGGGAGGCAGCAGUAGGGAAUCUUCCACAAUGGACGAAAGUCUGAUGGAGCAACGCCGCGUGAGUGAAGAAGGGUUUCGGCUCGUAAAGCUCUGUUGGUAGUGAAGAAAGAUAGAGGUAGUAACUGGCCUUUAUUUGACGGUAAUUACUUAGAAAGUCACGGCUAACUACGUGCCAGCAGCCGCGGUAAUACGUAGGUGGCAAGCGUUGUCCGGAUUUAUUGGGCGUAAAGCGAGUGCAGGCGGUUCAAUAAGUCUGAUGUGAAAGCCUUCGGCUCAACCGGAGAAUUGCAUCAGAAACUGUUGAACUUGAGUGCAGGAGGGGAGAGUGGAACUCCAUGUGUAGCGGUGGAAUGCGUAGAUAUAUGGAAGAACACCAGUGGCGAAGGCGGCUCUCUGGUCUGCAACUGACGCUGAGGCUCGAAAGCAUGGGUAGCGAACAGGAUUAGAUACCCUGGUAGUCCAUGC
rnacentral:rRNA from 1 species